rnacentral:rRNA from 1 species
AACAAACGCUGGCGGCGUGUCUUAAGCAUGCAAGUUGAGCGGCAAGGGGGAGCAAUCCCUCCUAGAGCAGCGGACUGGUGAGUAACGCGUGGGUAAUCUGCCUUGGGCAUGGGGAUAGCCACUAGAAAUAGUGGGUAAUACCGAAUACGUUCCACGAGGGGAGUGCUUGUGGAAGAAAGGGUGCUACGGCACUGGCCUGAGAUGAGCUCGCGUCCCAUUAGCUAGUUGGUGAGGUAAGGGCCCACCAAGGCGAUGAUGGGUAGCCGGCCUGAGAGGGUGUACGGCCACACUGGGACUGAGAUACGGCCCAGACUCCUACGGGAGGCAGCAGCUAAGAAUAUUCCGCAAUGGACGGAAGUCUGACGGAGCGACGCCGCGUGGAUGAAGAAGGCCGAAAGGU